rnacentral:rRNA from 1 species
GACGAACGCUGGCGGCGUGCCUAAUACAUGCAAGUCGAACGCCUCCUACCGGUGCUUGCACCGGGAAAGAAGAGUGGCGGACGGGUGAGUAACACGUGGGUAACCUACCUACAAGCGGGGGAUAACAUUCGGAAACGGAUGCUAAUACCGCAUAGAUCUUUUUGUCUCCUGGCAGAAAGAGGAAAGACGGUUUCGGCUGUCACUUGUAGAUGGACCCGCGGCGCAUUAGUUAGUUGGUGAGGUAAUGGCUCACCAAGACGAUGAUGCGGAGCCGACCUGAGAGGGUGAUCGGCCACACUGGGACUGAGACACGGCCCAGACUCCUACGGGAGGCAGCAGUAGGGAAUCUUCCGCAAUGGACGAAAGUCUGACGGAGCAACGCCGCGUGAGUGAAGAAGGUUUUCGGAUCGUAAAACUCUGUUGUUAGAGAAGAACAAGGAUGAGAGUCACUGCUCGUCCCUUGACGGUAUCUAACCAGAAAGCCAUGGCUAACUACGUGCCAGCCGCCGCAGUAA